AAGACUACACUUUCAGGGAUCAUUUCUUUAGUUCUUGACUUGAGAAAUAUCUUUCUAAAGAGUUUGGUCUCGCUGCCCGUAAUGAAGAGUUGAGAUGUUUCUUUCAGAGCAGGAAACUGGUGGGAAAACUUUGUUUCUUCUAUUCUGUUGAAGACUGUUCAGGGUUUUUCAGAGAGACUCUGAAGGAGUAAACAUGGUCUGAGUGGA
rnacentral:snoRNA from 1 species